UAAAGAAACCUAACCGUCUUGAUUUGUUUAACCAAGAAAUUAAGGUGCAUAUUUAAAUUUUAGGAAAACAAAAAAAUUAAAAUACACAACUUUCAAAAGAACGGAGUAAAGAAACUGUUGUUUUUACGUUUUUUUUUCUGCAUCAACGAAUAUCAUAUUGAACCUAAAAAAAUUCGGGUUUUUUUUUAUAAUAAAGUAAGCCACAAAGAAACAAAUAAUAUAAAGUCAGAAAUGUUGGCCUCCCACUCCUUCAUUGAUUAGCUGCUUGUUUUAACAAUAUCUAUUUCCUUCCGGAGACACCGGCAAUCAACGAUUUGAUGGCUCUAAGUUGCCCCUUUUUCGACGAUCCUGAUUCUCCACACGUCUAUGACGUUUUCUUGAGUUUCAACGGUGAAGACACUCGCGAGAAUUUUGUCGACUACCUCUUUGCUGCUUUGGAGAAGGCUUUUCAACCUUCCGAGACGACGAUGAACUUGAGAGAGGAAAAGAAACCAUCAAGUCGGGAUGCGCACCAAUGAAUCUGAAGAAAUUUCAGAAGUCGAUCCAAGAGAAUGUGAUGAGGUUCCAAUCAAGUUAUUAAAAAAAAAAAAUCACCUCCUACUCAGGCAAAGCGUCACAACAGCACUGGAAACAAUGAUUCGGUUGCUUUAUCAAUGACAACAAGGCCUGAAGACACCUUUCACUACUCUGAUCAAGAAUGUUUACCGUGUUUUGUUUAUCUAUAUUAAAUCAUGUUUAACAUGUUUAAAAACCUGUACAUAUCUUUUUUUGCCCAAAACUCAACAAUGUUUUUUGCAUCCCCACACAACAGCAUCUCCUCGUUUUUUGUAUGCAAAGGCUGGAACACAAAGUAUAUUAGAUGUGGUUAUUAGAAGAAAUUCAGUUAUUAUAAUGUUUUUUGUAUCUUUGUACCAGGAAUUUCUAUUUUUUGUAACUGAAUGUAAUCCUCCUGGUCCAAAAUACAUAGAACUGCUACAAUAUAAUGGAUGAUUAUAAUUUGUAUCUUUAUAUUAUCUAAAUUUAACCUUUUCCAAA